AACACUUGAUUUGUGUUUUAUGAUCUCAUACUUAUCUACAGGGAUGGGUAGAGCAAUCUUCAUCUCCUAGUCCAAAAAAAAUUAGUAUCCUGGAAAGGCGAUGCUUUUAUUAAAGUGGGUGAAAAUAUGGGAAUUGAAUUUCUAAAUUCAAAUGACAAUCUAAUGAAAUUUUAAUUUAAUUUAUAAUCUUAAGUUUAGAUUUUCCCAAGUUGAUUAGUUAAUUGCAUAAUUCCAAUAUUUUUAAAUGUUCAGUUGUAGGGGGUGAAAGAUUUUCUUCCCUAAAAUUAUGGCAUUUCUAAAGAGGAAGGAUGCUAAUGAUGGGACUGAGCAAGCUUUGCUUGAUUAAUUGAAUGCAUUAGAUGAACAACUCAAGAGUAAAGGGCCUUAUGGUAAUGAAGAAACGAUCACAGCUGUUGAUUUGAGUUUGGCACCAAAGUUUCCACCUUGAGGUGGCUCUUGGUCAUUUUAAAAAGUGGAACGUUCCCGGAAGUCUGACUCAUGUGCAGAACUACAUGAAGGUUCAAUUGACUCGAGAUUUUUGUUUGUUUGAUCAAGCUUGGGUCAUGCUAGGCUAGAAUAUUCAAGUGGGUUGGGUCUGUUCAGUUAUGCAAGUUGAAGAUGAUGCAGGCUGGGGCUAUAGUCGGUCCGAUCGACAAAUCUAUUGUGGCUAAGUCCAUGUUGCGUUUAACAUUGUUUAUUAUCGUAAAUGCGGGCAACUCUGCUUAGCUGGCCAAAAAAGAAGACAUUAAUGGAUUACUUGUGGGUGGUGCUUUAUUAAAGGGCUAAUGAGUGAUGAAUUGAGGAAUUUAGCUGACCCUUCCGAAGCCCGAGGAAGCAAAAAAGCCUACGUUCAGCUUAGGGGCAGUUGAUCCCAAAAUUGGGUCUCACAUAUAUGACAAAACCAAGAGUCCCUGCGUUCUUGGUGACGACUCAAAGAGAUUUAGAACCCGUAGUACUAAAGUGGUUAAACCCGUAGUACCCGUAGUACUACAAUUUCUUUUAUGUAUUACAUUUUAAAACCUAUAUAAGAUUUUUUUUCUAUCUUUUUAAGGCUUGAAUUAUGUUUCUGCUUCGUAUUGUCGACUCCGCCGCAACGCGCGGGUUUCUCACUUUCUAUUUUGAAGUUUAAAAUAAAUAAAUAGUUGUU